CCAUGGUUUGCUCUCUUUCUUUCUCUCUCUUUCUCAGAAAAUAAACAAACAUUAAACAAAACUGGGGGCUCCCAAACCACCUUCACUUUUGAUAAUUCUCUGGAAGGCCUCCCAGAACUCACAGAGGCACUCCCCGUGGCUGUGGUUCCUGAUGAAGCCAGCUAAGGGAAGAAGUGCAGAGGGCAAAGUGUGGGGGCCUCCACACGCAAAGCUGCUGUCGCCUCCCAUGCAGUCAGGGCGUGUAACACGCCCAGCCUGGGUGUGUGAGGAUUGCAAACCAGGGAAGCUUGUCUGCUGUUCAGAGUGUUUAUUGGAGCUUCCAGUAUGUAGGCAUGACUGAUUGAUUGAUUGCCCAUAUGGCUGAAGUCAGUCUUCAGGUCAACUUAACGAUACAUGAUGGGAUCUCCUGGCUACAUCUCCUGGAUGGGUCUUUCUGGCACGACCAGCCUCCACCUUAGAGUACAGAUUGGCCUGCCCUCAUCUAAACAAAGACGCUUCUAUCAGGUGCCGCAUAGAUUACCUCCCAGAAGGCAAAGACAAAGGCCAGACCUCCUCUUCAGGCAAGCCCAAAUUCUUUACUGCACCACCUGGCCUUUAUCCAAAGCUCUCCUGCAGCAAAAUAAACAUAUGCCCUAAUGUUUGGAGGUGGCAGCGUGGAGUAGGAGGCUCUUAACUCAGUUUUCAGACUAUCAAUAUCAGUGGUGCAAUCUUCCCGGUGACACGGUGCCAACGUUACACCACAUCACAGUACGGGGAGUGGACGUAACCUGAAGGGUAAGAGUCACAAGUCGGUGGCAUAUUACUGGAGUUCCACUCAAUCAUCGACAACCGGCCCAACUCGUCAUCAUGUCAUACGACCACAAUGGGUCCCAAAGCAUUCCCACCCUGGUUUUCAGGUUUCCAUUCAACUCAGCAGUUUCUAGAAACAGGAGAGGUCUCUACCCCCAGAGACGUCUACUGAGUGCUCUUAGGAGACCAUCUCGUCUCUUGCUCUGAGCCCCCACCCCCACCCCGCAAGGUGUUAAUGCAAUACUGGAUUUUUCUUGUGGCAUAGCCUAUUUAUUUGUUCUUUUGCCCUUAGCUACGAUUUCUCCUUCUCUCUAUUUGUGAUUUAUUUUUAUUCAGACGAUCUCCUGUUGGAAGGAACGCGCGCGAAGUUCAGCCUAGGGAGACGCUGUUCCAGAUUGCCUGCACUGACAUUACUUGAGGAAAUGCACCCCCCUCAGUCCAUUCCCAUUCAUACAAGAGCUACACAGUCAUACCAGCGUUCUCCCUCACCCCUUCUCCAGACCCCCCAGAAAAGCAGAGAAAUCUACCGAGUAAGCAACACCCUCAUGAAGAUAUAGUACUGCAAGAUGAUUACACCAUGGAGGACGACCGGAAUGAAGCUUGGCAUAAUCAAACACGUGGUCUGCUAAAAUGAAGAAAUUCAGCUUGAAUUUCACUGUUUCAUUAUUGUGAUGAUAAUGGUGAUACAAUAACAGAAACUAUGCGAAAAACCAGUCAGCCUACCUUGCAUUUGAACUAAGAACUCCGUCUUAAUUCUACGGGCAGCUUCACUUUCGUUUUCGCUUCUUGAGCCACACAGAGAAUCAAUUUCAUCGAUGAAGAUGAUGGAAGGUUUACUCUCUCUGGCAAGCUGAAAUAAGUUCUUAACUAGCCUAAAAAUAAGUAAAAGCUUUCAGCUUCUUAAAAGAAUAGUAAAUGACAGAGGACUUAAUGAAAAAAAAAAAAAAACACAACACAUAUACAGUAUUAUAAGAACUCUACAGAUUAAAAGGUCCAACUAUGUUUUGGUCUAGAAAAUAAGAAUACUACAACUGGAUGAUUCACUUUAUGAUUUACUAAACUAUGCUAUAUAUAACUAUACAUAUGCUACCUUUUUCCUAUGAAAUAAAUGUCAAACUAGGGACUGA